CCUUGGAACCUGGCAGCGAGCGCUGGAGGAUGACGGGUGGCCCCCACCGCCGGGCUGCGCUGCCCAGCACAAGUGACAAAGAUCUCCUGGACGGAGCCUGGUGCCUUCGAGCCCAGCCACAGCCUGCUGAGUGGCUUUUCUCCUUCCUCCUGCCAAAGGACCACAGCCACUGCUGCUCUCCAGGAAACCUCUGGAGCAGAAGGACUUACCUUUGGCAGGAACAAGAAGAGGUGGAGGUGCCGGGUGAGGCAAGAAGAAGGCAAAGGGAAUGAGCGAGGGAAAGAGAAAGCUGGAAACAGAAGGCUCUGUUGUGAUGGGAAGGGUGUGAAGGGCAGUGCCCCUUGUCGCCACGUGCCCCACGGGACGUGGGCCAAGGCAGAAGGUCCCUGGGGACUUCCCAAGCUCCUUGCCUCUGCUUGGGGUGAGGACUGUGCAGCUGAACUAGAGCCGACGAGACACAAAUCCACCUCCAAGCAUGGGAAGGGGCACAUCUUGUGCAGAGGGGACUGGAAGUAACGAGUGAAGGCAAGGAGAGGUGUCAGAGAAAGCAGAAGCCAGGAUAGCCUGGAGAGAAGUGAUGCACUCAUGAGUCAGUGCUGUGAGGUCUCAGACCUGCUGCCUCCCUUCGCUCCUGUUCCUUUUUCCCUCUUUCACGUUAUCUCAUUGCUCAUCGCCGUCCCUCUCUAUCUCACCCACUCUUUCUCGCCUCUCACUGUCCUCCGCUGGCCCCGUGCAAAGCACUGGCACGAGUGUCCUGGACGGGGCUCCUCUGACAUGGCCAGCUCCUUUCCUGGCACACUGCGCUGGGCUUCCCUCUCCCCCGCGACGUCCCACGCAAGAGCGAUGGCAGCGGGGGGGUGUCUGAAGCUGGGGCCAGGCUGGGGCCACCUCCUGCUGCCCCCGUCCCCGCGUCGCGGGCUGCGAGCAUCUCGCCUGAGCCCGCACUGGACAGACACUCGCAGGAGGACACACAGCGGGGACACAGGCCCGUGUAGGUGCCCGUGAUCGAGUGCAUUUGGAUGAAACUGUCAGCUUGAACAUCGGCCUGUCUAAUAAAUCCUGGCAUUUUCCAAACA
rnacentral:lncRNA from 1 species